AGUGAACGCUGGCGGUAGGCCUAACACAUGCAAGUCGAACGGCAGCACAGUAAGAGCUUGCUCUUACGGGUGGCGAGUGGCGGACGUGUGAGGAAUACAUCGGAAUCUACUUUUUCGUGGGGGAUAACGUAGGGAAACUUACGCUAAUACCGCAUACGACCUACGGGUGAAAGCAGUGGAUCUUCGGACCUUGCGCGAUUGAAUGAGCCGAUGUCGGAUUAGCUAGUUGGCGGGGUAAAGGCCCACCAAGGCGACGAUCCGUAGCUGGUCUGAGAGGAUGAUCAGCCACACUGGAACUGAGACACGGUCCAGACUCCUACGAGAGGCAGCAGUGGGGAAUAUUGGACAAAGGGCGCAAGCCUGAUCCAGCCAUACCGCGUGGGUGAAGAAGGCCUUCGGGUUGUAAAGCCCUUUUGUUGGGAAAGAAAAGCAGCAGGUUAAUACCCCGCUGUUCUGACGGUACCCAAAGAAUAAGCACCGGCUAACUUCGUG
rnacentral:rRNA from 1 species